ACUUAAAUUGAAGAGUUUGAUCAUGGCUCAGAUUGAACGCUGGCGGCAGGCCUAACACAUGCAAGUCGAGCGGCAGCGGAAAGUAGCUUGCUACUUUGCCGGCGAGCGGCGGACGGGUGAGUAAUGUCUGGGAAACUGCCUGAUGGAGGGGGAUAACUACUGGAAACGGUAGCUAAUACCGCAUAAUGUCGCAAGACC
rnacentral:rRNA from 1 species